AUGCAUUUAGAAAAAAAAAAACAUUACUGAUGUGCAUCUUGAGACAAAACCAUGGCACUGACACCUUUUUUUUUUUUUUUUGUAAUACCCAAUAGUUGCCAGAUGCUGUCCUGUUGGAAUUUCUUCUUUACGUGAUCCUGGAGGAGGGUGAUGCUACAUUGCUAAGUCCGUCUUUGGUUUGUUCCAAAUUCAGAAGUCUGCUGUACUGUAUACAGACUCCUUUCGAAAGAGGGCACAAUCCAGCUGGCUUGACUGAGUGGAACAAAAUGGAGAACAAGUCUAAGCCAUGUCAGGAAUUCAACAAAAUGUACACCCUGCAGACACUGCGACGAGGUUUACAACAACUGCUUACCAGGUCACUGCAGUCACCCGGAUCGAGAUCGUAUCCAGACCAGAUGGUGGAUCGCACCUAGAAAGGACCUCUACAGCCCUGAAAGACAGCGAAGACCAGGACAACUAGAGCCCCAGAUACAGAUCCCCUGUAAAGACCUUGUUUUUUCUCCAUUUUGUCACCGGUGGAGUUUUGGUUCCUUGUCGCCUCUGGCUUGCUUCGUUGUGGUCACUUCAUUUACAGUGAUAUCAUUGUCAUGAUUGCAAAUGAUUCCACAGAUACUAUUUAAACUCAACCGAGCUGAAGGAUGACAUCACUGAAUUGAAUGAUAAACUGCCUUUUAAACUGACUACAAACUGAGUUUACUAAUGUCCUUCUGCAUUAUUGACUGACACACUAUUUUCCUAUUUAAUACUGUAAAGUUGCUUUGCUUUGAUCUGUAUUAUUAAAAGUACUAUAUAAAUAAACGAUGCUUGACUUGACCAUGUUGCAAGGGGAAAAUGAGGGGAGAUGCACAUCCACCCUGGGUUUUAAGGUGAUUGGUGCAAGAUGCUGGAGAAGUAACUCUGUAUACCUCAUCAGUUCUGAUCUAAGAGUCUUGAAAAUACCUCCGGAUUGUUGUUAGUGAUUCUGAUUGAUAUUUUAGUCUGCUUGCUUACUGGAUAUAUUUUAUACGGUUUACUUGUAAAGCACUGACUUUGACACCUUACUAACCCAGUUACAAAUUUAACAGCUACUUUAUACUAUAUAAAUUUAUACUAUAUAUAUAUAG